CUUUUCAAAUGUUUUCUGUGCCUUUGUAAACAUGUGUCUAUUAUACAUAAUUCAUGUGUAUUUUGUAUACAAUGAGAUUAUUUACGUAGUCUUUUAUACUACAUUUUUGGACAUUUUAUUGUCACAACUGCAGCAUAUUAACAGCUGGAAAUCUUGAGAUGCACUUUUCUUUGUUUUAUUGGUCAACACGUUUUUGUAUUUGCCUUUCUUGAUUCUGAGUGAAAAUCAAAAUUAGAGCAGUAGACAAUCAAACUUAAAACAAAGGAAACAAAAGCAUGAGUGAAUGUCCAUCAGAGGAACAAUUAGUCCCUCUGGAGUGGACCAGGAGGCAGGACUUGAAGGACAAGAUAACUUUCUUGGGAAAGGAGCCAGUGGAAGAAGGCUGGAGCCCAUGGAGUAGCUCAUCACCAUCUGGAGGCACAAGCUAUGGAGGUGCUGCCCCAGCACCAUUCUGAAGGGGAUUCACAGUCCACCAGGAUAAGCAUUUGCUAGGUGACCCAUGACGUCCUCACGUGAUGCACAGUUUGCUUAAGGUCUCAUUUAACAUAUUGAGUUUUCUCUACUUGUUCCUAAACUUGAUCUUCAGCACAUGUGACGGUGAAGUGAACGCGGGCAGAGAAUGAAC
rnacentral:lncRNA from 1 species